rnacentral:misc_RNA from 1 species
UGGAUGUUCACUGACAAUGUCCUGAGAACUCACAACCAUCAGCGUGAAAAGUUAAUAUACAAAAAGCACUUCAUUUCCGUAAAUAAAACCAUUGAAAGAAACCAAUCCAUCAUAACAAUAUGAAAAUUCUUGUUGGCAUUUGGCAAUAGGUUAGAUUGGAUCAGAAAGUUGUUUGGUAAAAUGGACUGGAUGAAGUUAAAUCAUCCUCCAAAGACAGGAUAAACUUUAACCUUCUAUUUUGAUCAUAAAAUGUUCCUCAAUAAUGUGGACAUCAAGUCAACUAUUUAUCACAACUUCCCUAGCUGUGAAUAUGAUAUCAUUGCUCAUUUCCUAAUCCUUAUUCAAUCUGCUGUCCCAACCAUUUUUUUCCUUUUCUUUUCCAGUUGCGCAAGCAGAGUCAAAUUUUCAAUAAAAGAAAAAGUUAUUGAUAUCUGGUUCACAAUGUCAUUAGCUACAUCUUGAUUUACCAUAUGCCAUGAAGAGUACACAAAAGGAAUACAUGCCUGAUAGUGUUUAUGUCAAUGUUCAUGGCAGGCAAAUUUUAAAACAACACAGUUUUUAGGUCUGGCUUUGGCAUAAUUGGGUUCAUGUCAUAAAUGAGUCGAUCUGCUCAUAAAAUGCAAAAUAUAAAUGGGUUAAACAAAAUGCAUAUAUUUACAGAUUUUUCUUGCGGACUAAGUGUGUUUUUAUUUGGGACAAGUGAUUUUUGAACAGUGAUUGAUAGUUGUACAGUUGCUAACAUUUGACAUUUUUGAUGAGAGGGCAGCAAUAAUUGUGAAAAAUAUAAUUCUAAAAUUGCUAUGUGCUUAUUUUUUUUUUCUUAAACAGAUUAGUUGUGUCAAUAUUAAAUGUAUCAGUAUAUGUUUUCUAAAAACACAAUUAUUUGUUGUCAUAGCAUUUUGCCAAAACCCAAUAAAAUAUGCAUAUGAAAUGGGUUACUUAUGUCUUGUGUAACCUGCUUAAUUAAUAAGGCAUGUUGAAAGGACAGGAUUGCUUUAUGUUCAUGUUAGCUGCUAGCAUAAUUUUUUGGCAUCCAUUUAUGACAUGACAACCAAAAUUGCUCCCCAAAGGAUCCCAUGGCUCAUGGGAAGUAGCAUAACCAAGUUUUCAAAUUCUCUAAUAACAUUUAACUGUUAUAGUCUUGUAGACUUAUUUCAAGGGCAUAACCCGAAGAAGAUAAACCAUUCAUACAGUCUCAAUGUAAAAAAUAUUAGCUUAAAAAUCAUUUUGAAUCCACUCGAUGGAGUCUUACUUUAGCAUCAAUGAAAGAGAUGUAAAGGUCUGUAACAGCACAUAUCUGAUUUAAACCCGUUUGAGAUUCAGACAUUCAGUAGCUGAGAAGAACUUUUCUUAAAGGCAUAAAAUCAUCAAUAUUCAAUAGAUAGCUAAGAAUACUUGAUCUCCAUGUAUGACCUUAUCAUAGAAAGUCAAAUAGCAAAAGUUCAACAUAGAUAUAGAUUGCUUCCCCAUUAUAGAUAAGCAUGUUAAGAUGAAAGUGUAAAAAUACAUAAAGGACCUAAGUUUGAAAGGAAUGAUUACAUUUGUUGAAAAAAGGUGAAGCUGGAACCAGUUAGGUAUUAGUUAAGGAGAGUUUCCUGAGAUGGUUUUUUUGAUAGUGUGAAUUGGAGUGGUAGAAAUGAUUUGAUGCAAUAUAGAUAAAAAUCUUGGUCCAAAAUAAGACUUGAGCAAAAAGGAUCCAAAUAAUUCCCGUUAGUUUGUGAUUAAGGUUGGGUCAAAUUGAGUAAUAACCCCAAAGCAGAAGACAAGUCAUUAUGUGUUAUUCACAUAGAUUUGGUCCUUUUUGUUUUUUAGUUUUUAAAGUGUAGGAGAGGGAAGGAGGAUAUCAGAAUUUAAACCCCUGACACUCAGGCUACAAGAAGGCACUUGAUGAGGCUCAGAUGGUAUAUAUAUCAAUAAUGACAGAAUACUACUACCACAGAUUACGAAUGUCAGUUCCUACGAAAUUACUAAGACAACAGAAACAGGAAUGUUCUCUUUCCUAAAUACCUUUGGAUAAUAAGCUGGCCCAG